rnacentral:rRNA from 1 species
AGGACGACCAGCCACACUGGAACUGAGACACGGUCCAGACACCUACGAGUGGCAGCAGUCGAGAAUUUCUCUCAAUGGGCGAAAGCCUGAAGGAGCGACGCCGCGUGGGGGAUGAAGGGAUUCGUCCCGUAAACCCCUGUCAUUUGCGAACAAAUGUUUUGGCAUAACACGCCAAAGCUUGAUUGUAGCGGAAGAGGAAGGGACGGCUAACUCUGUGCCAGCAGCCGCGGUAAUACAGAGGUCCCAAGCGUUGUUCGGAUUCACUGGGCGUAAAGGGUGCGUAGGUGGUUGGGCAAGUCUAACGUGAAAUCCCAGGGCUUAACCUUGGAACUGCGUCGGAUACUGCCUAGCUUGAGGGUUGGAGGGGGGACUGGAAUUCUUGGUGUAGCAGUGAAAUGCGUAGAUAUCAAGAGGAACACCAGUGGCGAAGGCGAGUCCCUGGACAACUCCUGACACUGAGGCACGAAAGCUAGGGGAGCAAACAGGAUUAGAUACCCUGGUAGUCCUAGCCGUAAACGGUGCACAUUUGCUGUAAGCGGAAUCGACCCCGCUUGUGGUAAGCUAACGCGUUAAAUGUGCCGCCUGGGAAGUACGGUCGCAAGAUUAAAACUCAAAGAAAUUGACGGGGGCCUGCACAAGCGGUGGAGUAUGUGGCUUAAUUCGAUGCUACGCGAAGAACCUUACCUGGCCUUAACAUGUAGGUAGUAGAAGCUUGAAAGAGUAACGAUCCCGCAAGGGAAGCUUACACAGGUGCUGCAUGGCUGUCGUCAGCUCGUGUCGUGAGAUGUUGGGUUAAGUCCCGCAACGAGCGCAACCCUUGUGUCCUGUUGCCACUCGAACGAGAGUUCGAAGCACUCUGGACAGACUGCCUCAUUUUAAUGAGGAGGAAGGUGGGGAUGACGUCAAGUCAGUAUGGCCCUUACGGCCAGGGCUGCACACGUACUACAAUGGCCGAUACAGAGGGAAGCAAGACCGCGAGGUGGAGCAAAUCCCCCAAAAUCGGCCUCAGUUCAGAUUGUUGGCUGCAACUCGCCAACAUGAAGCUGGAAUCGCUAGUAAUGGCGCAUCAGCUACGGCGCCGUGAAUACGUUCCCAGGCCUUGUACACACCGCCCGUCACAUCAUGAAAGCCGGUUGUACCCGAAGUCGCCGCGUUAACCGCAAGGAGACAGGUGCCGAAGGUAUGGCUGGUGAUUGGGAUGAAGUCGGAACAAGGUA